rnacentral:rRNA from 1 species
UACGGGGGGGGCAAGCGUUGUUCGGAAUUACUGGGCGUAAAGGGCUCGUAGGGGGCCAACUAAGUCAGACGUGAAAUCCCUCAGCUUAACUGGGGAACUGCGUCUGAUACUGGAUGGCUUGAGUUUGGGAGAGGGAUGCGGAAUUCCAGGUGUAGCGGUGAAAUGCGUAGAUAUCUGGAGGAACACCGGUGGCGAAGGCGGCAUCCUGGACCAAUACUGACACUGAGGAGCGAAAGCCAGGGGAGCAAACAGG